AGGGUGAUCGAGGAGAGGGGAGAGGCCUGGGCGUGUGGACCGGUCCGAUCGGUCAGGGUGGCGACCAAGGAGCUAAGGAUGUCGAGGAGGGCGGUGAACCCCGGCGGUCAUGGAAGGGCGGCUGGACAUGUGUAGGUGCCUCGUCAACCCGUGAACUCUCACAGGGUGACACUGCUCUGGCCAUUUGUGCGGCUUAUGGGAUGCCUGCUAUCACAAGAUAUCUCCUGGGGCGCCACCUUCGGAGAGGUGACAGAAAUGACUGACAUUUUUGAAUGAAGCAUCAUACGGCUAGUUAAGAGGCUGGAUGAAUUUCUGAAUCAGCUAAAAGCUGCUGCUGAAGUUGUUGGGGAGGUCAACCUUGAGAGUUUUCCAGCUAAAAGCUGCUGAAGCUUCUUGUUUCCCUUGCAUUUCUUAACUUGCACAGGGCAUGAUUGCUGUAUUGUCUAGAAAAACUGAUCGCCUACCUGGGUGGCAUCUGCAUCGUGCUUGCCAGAUUAUUUGUGUGGUCAAAUGAAAUGGAUGACAGUGGAAGCCAUGUUGUUGUUUUGUUUGUUCCCAGCCCUGACUAUGGUCGUCAAGCGAGUCCGGCAUGUUGUUCAUCUAGUAGAGCUUGUUAGGAGUCUGAAUCUAAGAACUUGUAGAGUUUGUUAGUAUUACAAUUGUAGAGCUUGUUACACUUGUAGAGCUCGUAAAGCAGUAUGGUCUUCUGUAUUGGAAUGGAUAGAGCUUGCAUUAUUUG